rnacentral:rRNA from 1 species
UGGUGGAGUGAUUUGUCUGGUUAAUUCCGUUAACGAACGAGACCUCGACCUACUAAAUAGUCAGCAGAUGGAUCCGUCCAUUUGACGUACUUCUUAGAGGGACUGUCGGUUGGGAGCCGAAGGAAGUUCGAGGCAAUAACA